AUUGAACGCUGGCGGCAGGCCUAACACAUGCAAGUCGAGCGAGCGGCGGACGGGUGUGUAAUGUAUGGGGACUGCCCGUUAGAGGGGGAUAACUACUGGAAACGGUAGCUAAUACCGCAUACUAUCGGAUAACCCAUAUGGGAUUAGCUAGUAGGUGAGGUAAUGGCUCACCUAGGCGACGAUCCCUAGCUGGUCUGUGAGGAUGAUCAGCCACACGGUGACUGAGACACGGCCCAGACUACUACGGAGGCAGCAGUAGGGAAUAAUGCACAAUGGGCGCAAGCCUGAUGCAGCCAUGCCGCGUGUAUGAAGAAGGCCGUAGGGUUGUAAAGUACUUUCAGUGGGGAGGCGUUACCGACAGAAGAAGCACCGGCUAACUCCGUGCCAGCAGCCGCGGUAAUAC
rnacentral:rRNA from 1 species